UGAAGGGAAACAAAAAGCAGAGACAAGACCGUUUUUGCAAUCAACGUUACAGUUUUUUUUUAAUCUGGGGAUGGAUGGCUGAGUUGGACACGUUCUGGAUCCACACGACCUGUGAGUAUUCUCACUACUUUGCUCUCAAGAAAUUGCAGUACAAUCUGAAUUACUUUUUGGAUGAACUGGGUGUCUACCAGUGUUACACCACUAGUUCUCAGUAGUAAUAACACUCCAUUUCAUGUCUCUCAGUAGAUGAAGCCAGCUGCAACCCGUAGAGUGGAGUCGUGGAGAGAGCCCCUCGCCCCUCAGCUAAACCAGAGUAAAUGAAGCCAGCACCAACCUGUGGAGUGGAGUCCAGGAGAGAGCAUGCCGCCCCUCAGCUAAACCAGAUCAGAUAAAGCCAACUGGAACCAUAUUUUUACAUAUUUUAUAUUAAAUAUAUUGAAUAAAACUACAUAUGAUAAAGAAAGUGUUAUCUUAUCUUUUUUAUAUGCUAAACUUGAUUAAAUUGGUGAUUACAUGUUGAAGCUGUAGAAGAAUGAAAAAUGUAAGCUAAACAAAAUUGUUUUUAACUACAUAAUUAAAAUUCCUGCCUUUUACACAUGUUCACUUGGCGUUUAUAUAACAUCCAAAUGUCAUUUCUCAGCUUAAUUAUCAGGCAGGCUCAUAGACUUACAGCAAUGUAAUUUCUUCAGGAAGGCACAAGGCUAAGCUCUGCACAAUGAAUUGCAUCAGCAAGAACUUUCUGACUGUAGCUUACACUCCAAAUAGUAUGCCUUUGGCCAGCACAAAGACAGAUAAGAGAACAGGGAACAUUCCAUCGCGA